rnacentral:rRNA from 1 species
AUUGAACGCUGGCGGCAGGCCUAACACAUGCAAGUCGAGCGGAUGAAGGGAGCUUGCUCCUGGAUUCAGCGGCGGACGGGUGAGUAAUGCCUAGGAAUCUGCCUGGUAGUGGGGGAUAACGUCCGGAAACGGGCGCUAAUACCGCAUACGUCCUGAGGGAGAAAGUGGGGGAUCUUCGGACCUCACGCUAUCAGAUGAGUCUAGGUCGGAUUAGCUAGUUGGUGGGGUAAAGGCCUACCAAGGCGACGAUCCGUAACUGGCCUGAGAGGAUGAUCAGUCACACUGGAACUGAGACACGGUCCAGACUCCUACGGGAGGCAGCAGUGGGGAAUAUUGGACAAUGGGCGAAAGCCUGAUCCAGCCAUGCCGCGUGUGUGAAGAAGGUCUUCGGAUUGUAAAGCACUUUAAGUUGGGAGGAAGGGCAGUAAGUUAAUACCUUGCUGUUUUGACGUUACCAACAGAAUAAGCACCGGCUAACUUCGUG